UUAAGUUAUUAAGGGCGCACGGUGGAUGCCUUGGCACUAGAAGCCGAUGAAGGACGUUACUAACGACGAUAUGCUUUGGGGAGCUGUAAGUAAGCUUUGAUCCAGAGAUUUCCGAAUGGGGAAACCCAGCAUGAGUUAUGUCAUGUUAUCGAUAUGUGAAUACAUAGCAUAUCAGAAGGCACACCCGGAGAACUGAAACAUCUUAGUACCCGGAGGAAGAGAAAGAAAAUUCGAUUCCCUUAGUAGCGGCGAGCGAAACGGGAAGAGCCCAAACCAACAAGCUUGCUUGUUGGGGUUGUAGGACACUCUGUACGGAGUUACAAAGGACGACAUUAGACGAAUCAUCUGGAAAGAUGAAUCAAAGAAGGUAAUAAUCCUGUAGUCGAAAAUGUUGUCUCUCUUGAGUAGAUCCUGAGUACGACGGAGCACGUGAAAUUCCGUCGGAAUCUGGGAGGACCAUCUCCUAAGGCUAAAUACUCUCUAGUGACCGAUAGUGAACCAGUACCGUGAGGGAAAGGUGAAAAGCACCCCGGAAGGGGAGUGAAAUAGAACCUGAAACCGUGUGCUUACAAGUAGUCAGAGCCCGUUAAUGGGUGAUGGCGUGCCUUUUGUAGAAUGAACCGGCGAGUUACGAUUUGAUGCAAGGUUAAGCAGUAAAUGUGGAGCCGUAGCGAAAGCGAGUCUGAAUAGGGCGUUUAGUAUUUGGUCGUAGACCCGAAACCAGGUGAUCUACCCUUGGUCAGGUUGAAGUUCAGGUAACACUGAAUGGAGGACCGAACCGACUUACGUUGAAAAGUGAGCGGAUGAACUGAGGGUAGCGGAGAAAUUCCAAUCGAACCUGGAGAUAGCUGGUUCUCUCCGAAAUAGCUUUAGGGCUAGCCUCAAGUGAUGAUUAUUGGAGGUAGAGCACUGUUUGGACGAGGGGCCCCUCUCGGGUUACCGAAUUCAGACAAACUCCGAAUGCCAAUUAAUUUAACUUGGGAGUCAGAACAUGGGUGAUAAGGUCCGUGUUCGAAAGGGAAACAGCCCAGACCACCAGCUAAGGUCCCAAAAUAUAUGUUAAGUGGAAAAGGAUGUGGCGUUGCCCAGACAACUAGGAUGUUGGCUUAGAAGCAGCCAUCAUUUAAAGAGUGCGUAAUAGCUCACUAGUCGAGUGACACUGCGCCGAAAAUGUACCGGGGCUAAACAUAUUACCGAAGCUGUGGAUUGUCCUUUGGACAAUGGUAGGAGAGCGUUCUAAGGGCGUUGAAGCAUGAUCGUAAGGACAUGUGGAGCGCUUAGAAGUGAGAAUGCCGGUGUGAGUAGCGAAAGACGGGUGAGAAUCCCGUCCACCGAUUGACUAAGGUUUCCAGAGGAAGGCUCGUCCGCUCUGGGUUAGUCGGGUCCUAAGCUGAGGCCGACAGGCGUAGGCGAUGGAUAACAGGUUGAUAUUCCUGUACCACCUAUAAUCGUUUUAAUCGAUGGGGGGACGCAGUAGGAUAGGCGAAGCGUGCGAUUGGAUUGCACGUCUAAGCAGUAAGGCUGAGUAUUAGGCAAAUCCGGUACUCGUUAAGGCUGAGCUGUGAUGGGGAGAAGACAUUGUGUCUUCGAGUCGUUGAUUUCACACUGCCGAGAAAAGCCUCUAGAUAGAAAAUAGGUGCCCGUACCGCAAACCGACACAGGUAGUCAAGAUGAGAAUUCUAAGGUGAGCGAGCGAACUCUCGUUAAGGAACUCGGCAAAAUGACCCCGUAACUUCGGGAGAAGGGGUGCUCUUUAGGGUUAACGCCCAGAAGAGCCGCAGUGAAUAGGCCCAAGCGACUGUUUAUCAAAAACACAGGUCUCUGCUAAACCGUAAGGUGAUGUAUAGGGGCUGACGCCUGCCCGGUGCUGGAAGGUUAAGAGGAGUGGUUAGCUUCUGCGAAGCUACGAAUCGAAGCCCCAGUAAACGGCGGCCGUAACUAUAACGGUCCUAAGGUAGCGAAAUUCCUUGUCGGGUAAGUUCCGACCCGCACGAAAGGCGUAACGAUUUGGGCACUGUCUCAACGAGAGACUCGGUGAAAUCAUAGUACCUGUGAAGAUGCAGGUUACCCGCGACAGGACGGAAAGACCCCGUGGAGCUUUACUGUAGCCUGAUAUUGAAAUUCGGCACAGCUUGUACAGGAUAGGUAGGAGCCUUUGAAACGUGAGCGCUAGCUUACGUGGAGGCGCUGGUGGGAUACUACCCUAGCUGUGUUGGCUUUCUAACCCGCACCACUUAUCGUGGUGGGAGACAGUGUCAGGCGGGCAGUUUGACUGGGGCGGUCGCCUCCUAAAAGGUAACGGAGGCGCUCAAAGGUUCCCUCAGAAUGGUUGGAAAUCAUUCAUAGAGUGUAAAGGCAUAAGGGAGCUUGACUGCGAGACCUACAAGUCGAGCAGGGUCGAAAGACGGACUUAGUGAUCCGGUGGUUCCGCAUGGAAGGGCCAUCGCUCAACGGAUAAAAGCUACCCCGGGGAUAACAGGCUUAUCUCCCCCAAGAGUUCACAUCGACGGGGAGGUUUGGCACCUCGAUGUCGGCUCAUCGCAUCCUGGGGCUGUAGUCGGUCCCAAGGGUUGGGCUGUUCGCCCAUUAAAGCGGUACGCGAGCUGGGUUCAGAACGUCGUGAGACAGUUCGGUCCCUAUCCGUCGUGGGCGUAGGAAAUUUGAGAGGAGCUGUCCUUAGUACGAGAGGACCGGGAUGGACAUACCUCUGGUGUACCAGUUGUCGUGCCAACGGCAUAGCUGGGUAGCUAUGUGUGGACGGGAUAAGUGCUGAAAGCAUCUAAGCAUGAAGCCCCCCCUCAAGAUGAGAUUUCCCAACUUCGGUUAUAAGAUCCCUCAAAGAUGAUGAGGUUAAUAGGUUCGAGGUGGAAGCAUGGUGACAUGUGGAGCUGACGAAUACUAAUCGAUCGAAGACUUAAUCAA
rnacentral:rRNA from 1 species